UACAGAGGGGGCAAGCGUUGUUCGGAAUUACUGGGCGUAAAGGGCGCGUAGGCGGCCUUCUAAGUCGAACGUGAAAUCCCCAGGCUUAACCUGGGAACUGCAUUCGAGACUGCAUUGCUAGAGUAUGGGAGAGGGAAGUGGAAUUUCCGGUGUAGCGGUGAAAUGCGUAGAUAUCGGAAGGAACAUCAGUGGCGAAAGCGACUUCCUGGACCAAUACUGACGCUCAUGUGCGAAAGCGUGGGGAGCAAACAGG
rnacentral:rRNA from 1 species